GGGGUCGACCGGAAUUGACAGGAUGGAGAUAAGUAGGUAAGCAUGCAGCGCGUUGGGUGAAUUAGCGCUUUAAUCAGAACGCUCAAACUUACAAAUGGCGAAAAUAACUACGCCUUGGCUGCCUAAUUUAGAAUUAGAAUAGCCUUUGUCCCGCCGGUGUUCCGUUUCAUUGGACCGGCAACCGGGGCAUCGAAAAAUGAAACUGGCCUGCUUAGGGUGUGAUAAGCGGGCGAGAUAAAGCACCUACGGAAGACGGUACAGGUAAGCGGCUGACCUUCCCCUUCCCGACAAACUAACAGCAGCUAAGCAUGUAGAAAGCUUACCUUAUACCAUGUUUGGACGAGGGUUCGAAUCCCUCCGGCUCCACUU
rnacentral:tmRNA from 1 species